CACGUAGUUAGCCGGUGCUUAUUCUUACGGUACCGUCAUGACCUCCCUUUAUUAGAAAGAGGCUUUUCGUUCCGUACAAAAGCAGUUUACAACCCGAAGGCCUUCAUCCUGCACGCGGCAUGGCUGGAUCAGGCUUGCGCCCAUUGUCCAAAAUUCCCCACUGCUGCCUCCCGUAGGAGUCUGGGCCGUGUCUCAGUCCCAGUGUGGCUGGUCGUCCUCUCAGACCAGCUACAGAUCGUAGGCUUGGUAAGCCUUUACCCCACCAACUACCUAAUCUGCCAUCGGCCGCUCCGUUCGCGCAAGGCCUUGCGGUCCCCUGCUUUCAUCCAUAGAUCUUAUGCGGUAUUAGCAAAGCUUUCGCCUCGUUAUCCCCCACGAUCGGGCACGUUCCGAUGUAUUACUCACCCGUUCGCCACUCGUCAGCAUCCGAAGACCUGUUACCGUUCGACUUGCAUGUGUAAGGCAUGCCGCCAGCGUUCAAUCUGAGCCAGGAUCAAACUCU
rnacentral:rRNA from 1 species